rnacentral:rRNA from 1 species
AUACGAACUGUGCAAACGUUAUUCGGAAUCACUGGGCUUAAAGGGUGCGUAGGCGGGUUUGAAGGUCUGAUGUGACAGCCCACGGCUCAACCGUGGAAUUGCGUUGGAAACCACAAGCCUUGAGGGAGUCAGAGGUGAGCGGAACUAAUGGUGGAGCGGUGAAAUGCGUUGAUAUCAUUAGGAACACCGGUGGCGAAAGCGGCUCACUGGGACUCUUCUGACGCUGAGGCACGAAAGCUAGGGGAGCGAACGGGAUUAGAAACCCCAGUAGUCC